CUAUAGGCCACAUUUACCUUCUCCUAGUUUUUCUCCUCGCUCUAGGGAUUUUUUUACAAACUAGUAUACCGCGUUUUUCACCUUUAAGUGACAUUUUGUGUUUUACGAGCUCCACGCUUGCUAGUAUCCUAAUUUUUGUAUUUUUGUCCUGUGUUUAAUUUAUUAAAGACCUUAAGCUUGCCUGCACGCUACUCCUGCUUGUCUUCUGCCUUGGAAGGAACGCUACUAGUGCAGCCAUGCACCCAGCCAUGCAAGUAGUAACACAAAUCAUCCGUCCGCCUGCUGGCGAGUCGGCGCCUGCUAAUUAAGUCGACAAGAGGCGCUCGGCGGUGCCAAACAGGGGGACGUAGUUUCCCAGGAAGUCGCCGACGGCUGUCAGGCAGACACUUUUUAAUUCCCGGUCGACGAUGUAAUGGACGGUCAUACAGACAGUUCUGGUCAGCACCAAGUGUUCCCCAGUACAGUAUUACGUCUAGUGACGCCCCUGGUGUGAAGUGCCGAAGAUGUGGGAGUGGGGCACAGGGAAGGGGUUUGUUGCGUCUUCACUGGAUUGUCCUUGGGGAAUUUUAAAGAGCAGUGCAAAAAGAGGCAACAAGAAAGUUACAAAACAAAGAAGCAAGCAGGAGAGACAAGGGAGCGUCUGACAAUUCGAUGAGAGCCAGUGAGGAAAAAAUACAUGAUUAAUACAGUUUUUUUGUUUGCAUGUGUUAAGCCCUAACAUUAACAUCAUUGUAUUUAUUAAUUUUUAUAUUUUUAUUUUGUAAUUGCUGCGACUUGUGCAGGGUGUACCCCACCUACCACCAGAGUGCAGCUGAAUUAGGCUCAAGCACCAUCCAAAAGGGACAAGCGGUAGGAAAUGGA